ACUUUUGUAAAUUAUGUACUCUUGUUUAUCAGUGGGAAUAAACAAUUGAAAGUCACCUUCUCCUGUCAUUUUGUUUCAACGNACAGUGGCGCCCCCAGAAAAUUUUAAUAGGGGUGGCCAGAUGAGGCCACAGUAAAUCUUGGGGUGGCACAUCAAAAAAAUAAAUAAAUAAAUAAAGGGUCUGCAAUAUUGACAAAAAAAAGAUAUUUCUGUGAUUUCUGGGAUUUUAUCGAUAACGAAUAUUAGACAAUAUUUUACUGUGUGUGUUAUUGUGCUGAUAUCUUAUUUCUAAGUGUGCUGACAGCUGAGGCUUUUUUUUUUUACCUUUAUGCCAUUUUUUUCUAAAAGUGUGCACCAUCUUUUAAUUCAGACACUUGCAUUUGGGCUGUUACCAAGCAAAUGCAAUCAGUAUCAACAAAAUUGAUCUUUGCAAUGUAGAGAAAACAGAAACUGCAUCUGAAGUGCCAUUUAGAUGUUUUUACACACUGUUUAAUGGAGCUCUGAGGGACAUGGGAUACUUUAACCUGGAGUUACAAAUUAAUAAUGUUUUGAUAUUUUAAACAUAAAACAUUGAAAACUGAUGUUUGAAAUAGUUUAAAAAAUGAAAUGGUACCUUAAAUGUGAAAUUAAAACAGCCAGUAGGUGGCAGCGAGUCACUGUUAAUAAGUGAGUCAUUGCGAUUGAACCGAAUCAUUUAAACGGUUGAUUCAUUCAGGAACGAAACACUAUCAUGUUGCUCAGAGACGCAAAACAGUGGCUGUGUUUGAAAUGAUUUUUGUUUUUAGAAAUAGAGCGCAAAAAGUGAAUAUGUUGUCUAAAACGUAAAACUCUUGAUAUUAACUUCUUGUUUAUUGAACUGUUGUAUGAAAUCAAUGUCACAUUUGCAAUUAUGCAGACUUCUGGAGAAAAACGUCACUCUUCGUGUGAUAGUAACUAUAUUAAAUGAUAUAUAAAUUAUAUAGAUCUAAAAUUAAUAGAUUUAAAAUAGAUUUAAAUUAAUAGUAGCCACUGCAAAUCAUCCUAGGGGUGGCCACAGGGGUGGCCAGAGUUGGCCACCCCUUGGGGGCGC
ensembl:lncRNA